rnacentral:rRNA from 1 species
AUGGAAGGCCGGGUUCCAUUCAGAGAUAUUACAAAUGUUCACCCGACAACUUCACCAAAAGGGAACAACUCUGUCGUUGGAGAGCAGAAUGAUCCUUUAGUUGAAACCAAAAAUGCUACGCAAAUGAAUUCUUCCCAGCGUAAGCGUUACCGUGACCGGGAUAGAUAUCUGCAAAUGACUCCAUAUCAAAGGGAAGCCUAUUUGCAAAGGAAUCGUGAGUACAAAAGAAUGAGGCGUGAGUGCAGCGCAAGUUGUAGCAAUACAGAACCAGCACCCCAGCAGAAAAAUACAAUAUCUAAUAAGAACAUAUGCAUGACAGGAAAGGAAGUCGUGGCCAGUUCAAACUAUGAGAAGCAUGAUUCAGUAUUUACUCAAUUGGGGUCUUCAUCAAAAGGAAAACAAGUGGCGGAUGUUGGUGGUUCUGGCACAAUUCGUCCAAAAGCUGGAACUCGAUUCACAAUCAGUCCAUCUGGCAUAUAUUUAUCAUCAAUAUCCUUGGAAGAUCAAGCUGCAAAAUAUGAAUUGAAAAAUGUACGUCAGCGUAAGCGACAUCGUUGCGUCAACAUGCACUCAGAACUGUCACAUGAUCAAGAAGAAGCACACGUACAAGAGAUUUGUGGCCAUAAUAAAAGACAGAGGCCAGAAAAAAAAAAUUGUAGUACUGCACGGGAUCGUGGCAGAGAGACCAACAACUUGCAUGAAGACCUCAUUUAUGUGCCCCAGGAUUCUUUUCCUGCCAUUCAUGAAUAUCUGGCAAAUACUGAAGACUCCAUUGAGUACGAUGAUGUGGACGAUGAGAGUCUAAUGUAUAAUGGAACAUGUCUUGACUUUGAAUCAUAUCAAGAGCCAAAGCAUGUCACAAAAUGCAUACAAGCAGAUCUAUAUGAUCAUAUAUAUCAUAAAUUGCCCCGUGGCUAUCAUUUUCUAGAGCGAGUGCCCAACUGUAGACAUUGCAAUGCGAAAAGGUUCCAAUAUGAGACGCCAACAUUUUGUUGCAUGAAUGGAAAAGUAAAGAUAGUAACCCCGGUUGUUCCUGAUGAAUUGCGUCAGUUGUACACGAGCCAGGAUCCAAAUGCAAAAUACUUCCAAGAUCAUAUACGGUACUUCAAUUCUCAUUUCUCUUUUACCUCUCUUGGUGUGAUCUUGGACCAAAGGUUCUGCAAUAGGAGGUCUGGAGUAUACAACUUUCGCGCACAGGGCCAAAUUUACCACCGUAUUGACCAGUUGGUUCCAAAAGAAGAUGGCCCCAAGCAUUGUUAUACUUCUAUGACACGAAUGCAGAUUUGCAACAAAGAUUUCUUCACUCGCCAAACCUUGACCAAACUCUGA